rnacentral:misc_RNA from 1 species
GCAACUUCAGAAGAAUCCUCUCAGAACUAAGGCAAUCACGGCUGGGGUUUUAGCUGGGGUCAGCGAUUCGGUUGCUCAGAAGAUUUCUGGAAUAAAAAAACUUCAACUCAGACGAUUGCUUCUCUUAAUGCUCUAUGGGUUUGCUUAUGCUGGACCGUUUGGGCAUUUUUUGCACAAAUUGAUGGAUAGAAUUUUCAAGGGAAAGAAAGGAAAUACAACUGUUGCAAAGAAGGUGAUAUUGGAACAAUUGACUAGCUCUCCUUGGAACAAUUUGUUUUUCAUGAUGUAUUAUGGUUUGGUAGUUGAAGGAAGACCAUGGAGUUUAGUUAAGACUAAAGUUCGAAAGGACUACCCAACUAUUCAGUUGACUGCUUGGCGGUUCUGGCCUAUAGUUGGUUGGGUGAAUUACCAAUACAUGCCUCUGCAGUUCCGUGUGAUAUUUCAUAGCUUUGUUGCUUCAUGCUGGGGAAUUUUUCUGAAUCUGAAAGCAAGAACAGUUGCAGUAAAGGCAGCAUAAAUUGAACCGAAUGUCUCUCCAU